CCGGCCGAGGAUGAGCCCGCGGCCGAUUAGCUUGUUGGUGGGGUAAUGGCCCACCAAGGCAACGAUCGGUAGCUGGUCUGAGAGGACGAUCAGCCACACUGGGACUGAGACACGGCCCAG
rnacentral:rRNA from 1 species